GAACCAAGAUGUUUAUGACAGUAUAUGCGAAUCUUAAAAAAAUAAACGUUUAUAAAAUGUGAUUAGUGAGUGGUUUAAGCAAUAAGCAGUUAAUGCUGAUAAGCAAAUCGUUGACAUAAAACUGCUCAAGAAAGUGAUGGAGUAUACAUCAGCUGGCUUGAUCCUCACUGCAAUCUGAGGGGUGACUUUGUUGGUUUCAUCUAAAAGUCGGUUCUAUUUUGGAAUAGUUUAUGGGUCCGUUUGGGUGAACUUAAAAUAAGUGCUUCUUGUUUAAAAUAAAUAAGUGGAGCAGAAGUUAGAAGUAAAAUAAGAUUUAUAAGUGAUUAAAGUGUUUGGGAAAUAAGUAGAAACCCUGAAACAAAAUCUAGCAUUCCUAGCUUUUUAUAAGUACUUCUUGACUUAUUACACAAACGGUACGAGCAAGUGCUCAUAACUUAUAAUCCAGAAGCUGAACUUAUAACUCCUAAACAAACACACACUAUCUCUAAAUUUAAAUUAUGUUUGUUCAAUAAAAUCUACUUCCUAAUCGAAGGUUGGGAAAACUUACUUAAAAAAGCACAAGAUCCGCGUAAGGGAGAAAGGGGAGAGAGAAAAAAAAAAAAAUUUGCACAAAGACUACGGUAGACGCCAAAACAAUGUUAUCUAAAAAUGACACAAAUUCGUUAAUUAAUGGUAAUGAUAAAGUCGUCAUGAAUGAUCAAAAGCCACCAAAUAUGACACUCAAUCAAAAAACACAUAAAAUUAAAUAUUUUUUCUUGACAGAGCAUAUAAUUAAACAGUUGAUACACAAUGAUAUUAUUAUAAUAACAAUAUAUAAUUUUAUGAAUUAAGUCAAUUUAUUUUUCCAACUGAAUCAGUAACAAAUCUAUCCACAAACAAAAUUUUAUAUUUGAAUUUUCUUAAACAAAUCCUUGGAAUAGAUUUUAAAUCAAAUUAAAAUUAGUGAAAUAUUAAUUAUCAAAAAUUUGUUUAUGAAGUACGAAUAUAACUCACACUUUUUUAAACUCCCUUCACAUGAUUCACAAGCCUAUUUCAUUUACAUUUUAUCGAAAUAUCUUAAACAUACAAUUUUUUUUUUAGUCUUAAGACUUAAAUCAAUCUGUUUUAAUAAUAAUUGUUAUUAAAUUUAUUUUUUCCAAAAGUAAAAUUAUAUUUUAUCAAACAACAAAUAUAAACUAACUCUUCACUAUUUAUUUAAAAAUUAAAUAAUAUAAAAUUUUAAUAAAAAUUAAAAUUCUAUUUUGAUAAUAAUUCCAUAAACCACCUAAGCAGCUAAGCUUAUACUCCCUCCUCAAUUUAUAAGUCUCUUUUGCUUUUCCAAAAGUCAAAUUGAUUAAUUUUUUAUCAAUUAUUAAAAAUUAUUUAUUUGUUGUUUUAGAAAAUAAAAAAUUACAUAUUAAAAUAGAUUUGAUUUAUCUUUUGAUGAUAUUUUUUUUAAAUUUUUAAUUAUUUAAUAUCUAUAAAUUUCAAUCAAAAUAUAAUUUAAUUAGUCAAAAGUAAAAGAAACUUAUAUAUUAAGACGGAAGAAGUAUUAUUUGGAAGCAUUGACCGGAGAGCAAAGGCCACAUGCUUGAAUAAAUUGAUGGGCAUACGCAAUAAUUUUCAUGUCUAAUCAUUCAAAUUAUUGGGACUGAAUUUUACCUCCAGACUCAAGCUUCUUCCAACAUCUACCAAUGAAGUUGUUCAUAUUAAUGAUAUUGGUCCACAUAAAUUUGUCUUCCAAUUCCAGGUCAUUUUCACAUCCAUCACUACAUUGAUAAUUACACAUUUUUGUAUGCAAUAUGCAUAGUCACUGCUACAAUAUUCUUACUUGUCCAUGAAAAAAGGGAUAUACUUGCUUGCGUCGAACUCUAAAUCAAGGAGUUAAUGAUGAAGAUAAUUUUUUUUUUUUUUUGCCGGAAUGAUGAAGAUAAUUUUUUUUUUUUUUGCCGGAAUGAUGAAGAUAAUUUAAUUAUCUUGGACCAUACUUAAAAAUCUAACUAUCUAUAAGAUAUUAUAUUUAUAUAAAACUUAUUAUUUAUGAUAUAAAUAUAACAUAAAAAAUUAGUAAAAAAGCAUGCCAAACAGAUAAAAAGCAUGCCGCAUGCCCAGUUUAACAUGCCCAUACUCUUGUGACAUGAACCGGGUGGUAAUUUCGGGUAAUGAGUCGUAUUCGUGUCAGCAAUCAGGUCGAUUUCGAUUCAAGCUAAAAUCACUUAAAAUUAAAUAAAACUGAAAAUUGAAUUUAUUAGAAAUGAAAUUCUAAUUUCGGGUCCAUUUCGUGUCAAUCAGAAGAUUUUCAAUUCACUUUCGGGUUUUGUCUCAGUAAAUCGGGUUGUGGGUUCGGAUCGUGUCUGAUAUUGCCACCCCUUUAUUGAACCUUAGUCUGUAUUGAACUGUACCAAAUUAACCACCAAUCUUGAAAAUAAUAAAUGACCGAAGUUAUGGGCCUAUGAUGUUAUUGGGCCUGCUCUACUGAUGCUUUGCCUAAAAUCAAUGUUCAUGCUUAACCGUAUAUAGAUGAUCCACAUUAUAUAUACUAGCCUUUAACCCGUGCUUCGCACGGGCGAAUAUAGAAUUCGUAUUUUAUUAAUUAUAAUUUAAAUUUUAACAUCAUCUUAUUAGUAUUUUAGUAUUAAUGAAUUAGAUUUUAACCAGAUUAUAUUUACCAACUGAUUACAUUUUUUGGACGACUAUGAAUUAUAUCAAUAUCGGUUUAUUAUAAUAUAGUGUAUAAAUAAUAUAUACAUUAUAUUUAAAAGAAUAAUGGUGGAGUUUUUUUAUCUUGUAUUACAUCACAAGUGUUUGUAAUUUGAACGGUAUAAAACUCUUUAAUAUUAUAAGAGUAAGAGAAGUCUACAUGUCACCCACUUGUAGUUAUAAAAAAGAGGACUGAACCAAAAUUUGUACGACUACAAAUUAAACCUAUGUUGCCUUAUUAUAUUAUAGUAUA
rnacentral:lncRNA from 1 species